AAGCGGAAGUGGCUCCUGGGGACAGCGCGGUCCACAUGGUGUCCAGGAGACCUGCUCUGAGGAUGACACCUCGGGGUUCUAGAAGCCUCCGACCUCUGUGGCGUCAUUGUCACGUAUGCCCAAGAACACUCAGCUGUGCGGACUCCUAGUUGGUGGCGCAUUCCCAGAGAAGUCCAGGACAUGGGUCCCAUGGGACAUCCAUUCUUGGAAGUGGGAACCGAAUUUCACUCAGCAUCCGAACACAAGGAUAGAGUUCAGGCCCGAGAACCGGUUCCUCCGCCUACUGUGCCACCCUCGGGAAGACCGGCCCCUCUGGCCCUGGCUCUCUUGUCCCCUUUGGUGACAUCUACCUCGUCCUCCCUCCGUUCUGGGCAUAGCAGAGAGGGGUACUGGGACAGGCCUCAUGAUCAGCUGUGACUGAAGAUCGCAGGCAGGGGCGUACACGGGACUGACCCCUUUCAGCACUCCCGGCCCGGCCCGUUGGCAGGUCUGUGAUGGAGCCUGACGCGGUCUGAUUAUAAAGAGGAAAGGUCGGUGCUUC